UACAGAGGUGGCAAGCGUUGUUCGGAAUUACUGGGCGUAAAGGGCGCGUAGGCGGCCUUCUAAGUCGGACGUGAAAUCCCCAGGCUUAACUUGGGAACUGCGUCCGAUACUGGAGGGCUUGAGUGCGGGAGAGGGAUGUGGAAUUCCAGGUGUAGCGGUGAAAUGCGUAGAUAUCUGGAGGAACACCGGUGGCGAAGGCGGCAUCCUGGACCGACACUGACGCUGAUGCGCGAAAGCGUGGGGAGCAAACAGG
rnacentral:rRNA from 1 species